rnacentral:rRNA from 1 species
AGAGUUUGAUCCUGGCUCAGGAUGAACGCUAGCGGCAGGCUUAACACAUGCAAGUCGAGGGGUAACAGGGUGCUUGCACCGCUGACGACCGGCGCACGGGGGCGUAACGCGUAUACAAUCUACCUUUUACAGAGAGAUACCCCAGAGAAAUUUGGAAUAAUACCUCAUAAUAUUAUUGCUCGGCAUCGAGUGACAAUUAAAGUUUCGGCGGUAAAAGAUGAGUAUGCGUCCUAUUAGCUAGUUGGUAAGGUAACGGCUUACCAAGGCGACGAUAGGUAGGGGUCCUGAGAGGGAGAUCCCCCACACUGGUACUGAGACACGGACCAGACUCCUACGGGAGGCAGCAGUGAGGAAUAUUGGUCAAUGGGCGAAAGCCUGAACCAGCCAUGCCGCGUGCAGGAAGACUGCCCUAUGGGUUGUAAACUGCUUUUAUACCCAAGAAAAACGUAAAUAAUGGGAAAGAAUGACGGUACAAUAAGAGGAAGCAUCGGCUAACUCCGUGCCAGCAGCCGCGGUAAUACGGAGGAUGCAAGCGUUAUCCGGAUUCAUUGGGUUUAAAGGGUGCGUAGGCGGCUUUUUAAGUCAGUGGUGAAAUCCUGCCGCUUAACGGUAGAAUUGCCAUUGAUACUGAAGAGCUUGAGUACAGUUGAGGUAAGCGGAAUGUGUAGUGUAGCGGUGAAAUGCUUAGAUAUUACACAGAACACCAAUUGCGAAGGCAGCUUACUAAACUGAUACUGACGCUGAUGCACGAAAGCGUGGGGAGCGAACAGGAUUAGAUACCCUGGUAGUCCACGCCGUAAACGAUGAUCACUCGCUGUUUGCGAUAUACAGCAAGCGGCUGAGCGAAAGCAUUAAGUGAUCCACCUGGGGAGUACGAUCGCAAGGUUGAAACUCAAAGGAAUUGACGGGGGCCCGCACAAGCGGAGGAACAUGUGGUUUAAUUCGAUGAUACGCGAGGAACCUUACCUGGGCUUAAAUGUAGGCUGCAUUCGGCUGAAAGGCUGAUUCCCUUCGGGGCUGCUUACAAGGUGCUGCAUGGUUGUCGUCAGCUCGUGCCGUGAGGUGUCGGGUUAAGUCCCAUAACGAGCGCAACCCCUAUCGUUAGUUGCUAACAGGUUAAGCUGAGGACUCUAACGAGACUGCCGCCGUAAGGUGUGAGGAAGGUGGGGAUGACGUCAAGUCAGCACGGCCCUUAUAUCCGGGGCUACACACGUGUUACAAUGGUCGAUACAAAGGGCAGCUACACGGCGACGUGAUGCAAAUCUCCAAAAUCGAUCUCAGUUCGGAUUGAAGUCUGCAACUCGACUUCAUGAAGUUGGAUUCGCUAGUAAUCGUGCAUCAGCAACGGCACGGUGAAUACGUUCCCGGGCCUUGUACACACCGCCCGUCAAGCCAUGGAAGCUGGGGGUACCUGAAGUCUGUAACCGCAAGGAACGGCCUAAGGUAAGACCGGUGACUGGGGCUAAGUCGUAACAAGGUAACC